ACGGAGGGUGCAAGCGUUGCUCGGAAUCACUGGGCGUAAAGCGUACGCAGGCGGCAAGGUAAGUCGGGUGUGAAAUCCCGGGGCUCAACCCCGGAACUGCAUUCGAAACUGCCCUGCUUGAAUACGGGAGAGGGAAGCGGAAUUCCUGGUGUAGAGGUGAAAUUCGUAGAUAUCAGGAGGAACACCAGUGGCGAAAGCGGCUUCCUGGCCCGAUAUUGACGCUCAUGUACGAAAGCGUGGGGAGCAAACAGG
rnacentral:rRNA from 1 species